GAGGAAAGAGGGAGGAGGGAAGAAUACAGGAAAGUCGAGCGAACGGACGAGAAGCUUGCUUCUCUGAUGUUAGCGGCGGACGGGUGAGUAACACGUGGAUAAGAUACCUAUAAGACUGGGAUAACUUCGGGAAACCGGAGCUAAUACCGGAUGAUAUUUUGAACCGCAUGGUUCAAAAGUGAAAGACGGUCUUGCUGUCACUUAUAGAUUGAUCCGCGCUGCAUUAGCUAGUUGGUAAGGUAACGGCUUACCAAGGCAACGAUGCAUAGCCGACCUGAGAGGGUGAUCGGCCACACUGGAACUGAGACACGGUCCAGACUCCUACGGGAGGCAGCAGUAGGGAAUAUUAAGAAAUGGGAGAAAGAAUGAAGGAGAAAAGACGCGUGAGUGAUGAAGGUCUUCGGAUCGUAAAACUCUGUUAUUAGGGAAGAACAUAUGUGUAAGUAACUGUGAACAUAUUGAAGGUAAAUAAUAAGAAAGGACCGGAUAAAUAAGUC
rnacentral:rRNA from 1 species